UACGUAGGCAGCGAGCGUUGUUCGGAGUUACUGGGCGUAAAGGGUGUGUAGGCGGUUGUUUAAGUUUGGUGUGAAAUCUCCCGGCUCAACUGGGAGGGUGCGCCGAAUACUGAAUGACUCGAGUGUGGGAGAGGUGAGUGGAAUUCCUGGUGUAGCGGUGAAAUGCGUAGAUAUCUGGAGGAACACCGGUGGCGAAGGCGGCAUCCUGGACCAAUUCUGACGCUGAGGCGCGAAAGCUAGGGGAGCAAACAGG
rnacentral:rRNA from 1 species